rnacentral:rRNA from 1 species
GAUUAACGCUGGCGGAAUGCCUUAUGCAUGCAAGUAGAACGAGUCUCGCAAGAGAUUAGUUGCGAACGGCUGAGUAAUACAUCGGAACGUGCCUAGUAGUGGGGGAUAACUACUCGAAAGAGUGGCUAAUACCGCAUGAGAUCUACGGAUGAAAGCAGGGGAUCGCAAGACCUUGUGCUACUAGAGCGGCCGAUGGCAGAUUAGGUAGUUGGUGGGAUAAAAGCUUACCAAGCCGACGAUCUGUAGCUGGUCUGAGAGGACGAUCAGCCACACUGGGACUGAGACACGGCCCAGACUCCUACGGGAGGCAGCAGUGGGGAAUUUUGGACAAUGGGCGCAAGCCUGAUCCAGCAAUGCCGCGUGCAGGAUGAAGGCCUUCGGGUUGUAAACUGCUUUUGUACGGAACGAAAAGGUCUCUCCUAAUACGAGGGGCUCAUGACGGUACCGUAAGAAUAAGCACCGGCUAACUACGUGCCAGCCGCCGCCGUAA